CUGCCUACGGGGGGCAGCAGUAGGGAAUCUUCCACAAUGGGCGAAAGUCUGAUGGAGCAACGCCGCGUGAGCGAAGAAGGGUUUCGGCUCGUAAAGCUCUGUUGGUAGUGAAGAAAGAUAGAGGUAGUAACUGGCCUUUAUUUGACGGUAAUUACUUAGAAAGUCACGGCUAACUACGUGCCAGCAGCCGCGGUAAUACGUAGGUGGCAAGCGUUGUCCGGAUUUAUUGGGCGUAAAGCGAGUGCAGGCGGGUCAAUAAGGUUGACGGGGAAGCCUUCUGGUCAAACGG
rnacentral:rRNA from 1 species